UACGUAGGGUGCGAGCGUUGUCCGGAAUUACUGGGCGUAAAGAGUUCGUAGGCGGUUUGUCGCGUCGUUCGUGAAAACUUGGGGCUUAACUCCAAGCGUGCGGGCGAUACGGGCAGACUUGAGUACUACAGGGGAGACUGGAAUUCCUGGUGUAGCGGUGGAAUGCGCAGAUAUCAGGAGGAACACCGGUGGCGAAAGCGACUUCCUGGACCAGUACCGACGUUCAGGCACGAAAGCGUGGGGAGCAAACAGG
rnacentral:rRNA from 1 species